UACGGAGGGUGCAAGCGUUAUCCGGAUUCACUGGGUUUAAAGGGCUCGUAGGCGGCCAACUAAGUCAGACGUGAAAUCCCUCGGCUUAACCGGGGAACUGCAUCUGAUACUGGAUGGCUUGAGUUCGGGAGAGGGAUGCGGAAUUCCAGGUGUAGCGGUGAAAUGCGUAGAUAUCUGGAGGAACACCGGUGGCGAAGGCGGCAUCCUGGACCGACACUGACGCUGAGGAGCGAAAGCCAGGGGAGCAAACGGG
rnacentral:rRNA from 1 species